rnacentral:sRNA from 1 species
GCUGGGCGUAGUGGCCCACGCCUGUCAUCCCAGUAGCUUAGGAGGCUGAGGCAGGAGGAUCGUGAGUUCAAAGCCAGCCUCAGCAACAGGGAGGCCCUAAGCAAUUCAGUGGGACCCUGUCUCUA